AUCCUGGCUCAGGACGAACGCUGGGGCGUGCCUAAUACAUGCAAGUCGAGCGGACUUGCUGGAGCUUGCUCCAGCAGGUAGCGGCGGACGGGUGAGUAACACGUGGGCAACCUGCCUGUAAGACUGGGAUAACUCCGGGAAACCGGAGCUAAUACCGGAUAGUAUCUUGAACCGCAUGGUUCAAGCUGGAAAGACGGUUUCGGCUGUCACUUACAGAUGGGCCCGCGGCGCAUUAGCUAGUUGGUGAGGUAAUGGCUCACCAAGGCAACGAUGCGUAGCCGACCUGAGAGGGUGAUCGGCCACACUGGGACUGAGACACGGCCCAGACUCCUACGGGAGGCAGCAGUAGGGAAUCUUCCGCAAUGGACGAAAGUCUGACGGAGCAACGCCGCGUGAGUGAUGAAGGUUUUCGGAUAGUAAAACUCUGUUG
rnacentral:rRNA from 1 species